rnacentral:rRNA from 1 species
GCAGCCGCCGCGGUAAUACAGAGGGUGCAAGCGUUAAUCGGAAUUACUGGGCGUAAAGCGUGCGUAGGUGGUGGUUUAAGUCCGUUGUGAAAGCCCUGGGCUCAACCUGGGAAUCGCAGUGGAUACUGGGUCACUAGAGUGUGGUAGAGGAUAGUGGAAUUUCCGGUGUAGCAGUGAAAUGCGUAGAGAUCGGAAGGAACAUCUGUGGCGAAGGCGACUAUCUGGGCCAACACUGACACUGAGGCACGAAAGCGUGGGGAGCAAACAGGAUUAGAUACCCGCGUAGUCCCUGUCUCUUAUAC